UACGGAGGGUGCAAGCGUUGUCCGGAUUUAUUGGGUUUAAAGGGUGCGUAGGCGGUUCUUUAAGUCAGCGGUGAAAGCCCGGGGCUCAACCCCGGAACCGCCGUUGAUACUGGUGGGCUUGAGUACAGACGAGGCAGGCGGAAUUGAGGGUGUAGCGGUGAAAUGCUUAGAUACCCUCAAGAACACCGAUUGCGUAGGCAGCUUGCUAGGCUGUGACUGACGCUGAGGCACGAAAGCGUGGGGAGCGAACAGG
rnacentral:rRNA from 1 species